rnacentral:rRNA from 1 species
AUUGAACGCUGGCGGCAUGCCAUACACAUGCAAGUCGAACGGCAGCGGGGGAGAAGCUUGCUUUUCCUGCCGGCGAGUGGCGAACGGGUGAGUAAUACAUCGGAACGUGCCCUGCAGUGGGGGAUAACUAGUCGAAAGAUUAGCUAAUACCGCAUACGACCUGAGGGUGAAAGUGGGGGACCGCAAGGCCUCAUGCUAUAGGAACGGCCGAUGUCUGAUUAGCUAGUUGGUGGGGUAAAGGCCUACCAAGGCGACGAUCAGUAGCUGGUCUGAGAGGACGAUCAGCCACACUGGGACUGAGACACGGCCCAGACUCCUACGGGAGGCAGCAGUGGGGAAUUUUGGACAAUGGGCGAAAGCCUGAUCCAGCAAUGCCGCGUGUGUGAAGAAGGCCUUCGGGUUGUAAAGCACUUUUGUCCGGAAAGAAAUGGCUCUGGUUAAUACCUGGGGUCGAUGACGGUACCGGAAGAAUAAGGACCGGCUAACUACGUGCCAGCCGCCGCAGUAACAC